AUGCUGCAACAGGCCAUUGCCUCCCUGAUCUGUCAAGCGACAACAUCCUACUUGCUCCAAGAAUGUCAUCUCUGAUAGAUUUCAUCUUUGAAUGCGCAAUGCGCGCAGACGAUGGACUGACCACAAUUGAAAGAAACGUACUAAGAUUUGUGGAUGUAUUGGAGACAAUAAGGAGAUCUCGUAACCCACCAAAGCAGAAAAGAACAUCAAAUAAGAACAAGAUGAGACAUCACCAGGGAGAUUAGAGUGGGUGUGGCCGCGCUGGUGUGGGUGAUAACAUCAACUGCUGCCUAAUCCUAGUCAGUGGGGGGGUGCUGUAUACUGAGGUCCAUGGUGAGGUCAGCUGUGAUGACGCGGUAAUCCUCUAGGAGAGGCCGGCAGACUG